UUUCCCGCCGCAUCGCGCGGGUAAACGACUAGUGUAUAUAUAUAUAUAUAUAUAUAUAUAUAUAUAUAUAUAUAUAUAUAUAUAUAUAUAUAUAUAUAUAUAUAUACUAGUCGUUUACCCGCGCGAUGCGGCGGGAAA
rnacentral:pre_miRNA from 1 species